rnacentral:tRNA from 1 species
GGUGUGGUACCCAAGUGGCUUAAGGGGAAAGUCUGCAAAACUUUUAUUCGACAGUUCGAAUCUGUCCCACACCUCAA